ACCCGGACAGCUCAGUUGGUUAAAGCAUCAGACUUUUAACCUGAAGGUCCAGGGUUCAAAUCCCUGUUUGGGUG